AGAGUAAAUUAUACAGUCGCAUGCGCAGCAUGAGGAAAGUCCGAGCUCCAUAGAGCAGGGUGCCGGGUAACCCCCGGUGAGGGUGACCUUAAGGAUAGUGCAACAGAAAGAAACCGCCCCGCACUUGAGUGCAGGGUAAGGAUGGAAAGGUGAGGUAAGAGCUCACCGGCAAUCAGGUGACUGAUUGGCUAUGUAAACCCCGCCCGGAGCAAGACCAAAACAGGACCUUGGAGUGGCUGCUCGCCACGGUCCAAAUGGUAGGUCGCUUGAGUUUGCCGGCAACGGCAAGCCUAGACAGAUGAUUGUUUAAUACAGAACUCGGCUUAUGUAUUUACUCUUUUU
rnacentral:RNase_P_RNA from 1 species